rnacentral:tRNA from 1 species
GGAGAGAUGGCCGAGUGGCUGAAGGCGCUCCCCUGCUAAGGGAGUAUGGGGUGUAAAGCUUCAUCGAGGGUUCGAAUCCCUCUCUCUCCG